rnacentral:rRNA from 1 species
AUGAACGCUGUCUACAGGCUUAACACAUGCAAGUCGAGGGGAAACGACGGGGAAGCUUGCUUCCCCGGGCGUCGACCGGCGCACGGGUGAGUAACGCGUAUCCAACCUGCCUCUGACUGAGGGAUAACCCGUCGAAAGUCGGCCUAAUACCUCAUGGCAUCGUCUGCGGGCAUCCAACGACGAUUAAAGAUUUCAUCGGUCAGGGAUGGGGAUGCGUCUGAUUAGCUUGUUGGCGGGGUAACGACCCACCAAGGCUACGAUCAGUAGGGGUUCUGAGAGGGAGGUCCCCCACAUUGGAACUGAGACACGGUCCAAACUCCUACGGGAGGGAGCAGUGAGGAAGAUUGGUGAAUGGGCGGGAGCCUGAACCAGCCAAGUAGCGUGCAGGAUGACGGCCCUAUGGGUUGUAAACUGCUUUUAUGCGGGGAUAAAGUGAGGGACGUGUCCUUCAUUGCAGGUACCGCAUGAAUAAGGACCGGCUAAUUCCGUG